rnacentral:rRNA from 1 species
GGAAGCACCGGCUAACUCCGUGCCAGCAGCCGCGGUAAUACGGGGGGUGCAAGCGUUGUUCGGAAUUAUUGGGCGUAAAGCGCGUGUAGGCGGUUUGUUAAGUCUGAUGUGAAAGCCCUGGGCUCAACCCAGGAAGUGCAUUGGAAACUGUCAGACUUGAAUACGGGAGAGGGUAGUGGAAUUCCUGGUGUAGGAGUGAAAUCCGUAGAUAUCAGGAGGAACACCGGUGGCGAAGGCGGCUACCUGGACCGAUAUUGACGCUGAGACGCGAAAGCGUGGGUAGCAAACAGGAUUAAAUACCCUGGUAGUCCACGCCGUAAACGAUGAGUACUAGGUGUUGCGGGUAAAUCG